CUUUAGAUCAUAUUCAGCUCGGUCUCAAAAAGACAUUGCUGCAAGGAUUAGAUGUUCCUGGUUUCUUUCUCCUGCCAACAGUUCAGUUUGUGUCUGCAACACUCCGCUGUGCUACCUGGCGGAAGGUACCUGGAUAUGGUGUUAGCUGAUAACACAGAGCAGUGACAAAUAAUGCCAUUAGACCAGAUUGUGUUUCACCUGCUGGAGAGGAAUGGUGCUUAGAAGUCUGUAAAAGUUGACUGAGAGAUUACGUGCUUUUAAUUAUUAAGGAGUUAUAUAAAACUCCUCCCCAAAUCCAUUUAAUGUUCCUGUAAUCUAUCUUCUCAAACAUGGCAAGUUCACCAAUCCACCUCUGGUCUCUGCUGAAGUUGUGGGGACUUUCAUGCAGAGGCAGUCUGUAGUACCUUCAGACCCCUUUGUCAGAAGUAAUGGAGAUGGACGAAAGAGAGUCUGCCAGUAUUCCUUGUACCACCCGGCAAACGUAGAGCAGGAGAAACAAUGUCUCCUCCUCAUGGCUCAGCCAGUGACAAGAAGAGAGGGGAUAUGCUAUUCACCUUCAACCUAAAGCAUGGUCAGAUGAGAUGGCCCAUCCACCUCUGUCCAGCCUGAGAAGGACCAGUGAAAGACAGGGACCUGACCAGACCAACCAGAUGAUGUCCCUGACUGAGGAGGUGAGACGUUUGGGCCCUGAGAGCUAUUUAUUAGAUAGGACCAUGGGGGUUUAUUUCAAGGCAGUGGGCUGAUGGCUAUACCACCACAAUUGAACAACAAAACUAGAGAGAUGGGCUGAGGGAGCUUGGCUGAAAAAGAUUUGCUAUAAAAUGAGUACUUUGUAUUGUACUGAAAUGGGUGGCCUCUGUCAAUUGGAGCUGCAUGGCACCUGUACAGAUGCUGACACAGCUGUAAAUUCUCAGUCAGGCAGAUUCUUGGCCUCCUAACGUUCCACGCUCCUUCGUCCAUUCCACUAUCUGGGAAAUCAGGAGUCAUGGAUUUCACUCUGAACGUGAGAAGAUUUGGACUAAUCCCAGUUCCUGGCAGUCUGGUGUUCCAGAGUUUGUGACUCUCAGCUGAACAGGCCAGUCAGUUAGGCCCUGGGCUCUGUAAUCAGUCAUGCGUUGUUCAGUCAUGGCUCCUGUGCUAUGAUAUGGUGGAAGCUAGGUCCAUUAAGAACCUAAAAGGGCCAUACUGGUACCUUGAAAUGGAUCGAUUAAUGAACGGGAAGCCAGUGCAGACUGCAAAGCACUGGUAUUACAUGUGAUCUUAGGAGAUAUGCUGCCAUGUGUUGGACAAGUUAUAACUUCUCCACAGACCUUUACCUUCAGCCCCAGAUAGUGCUUUGCAGUAAAACCAACUUGGAGGUGCUGAAUGCAUGGAUCACUGGGGCCUAGUCUUCUUCUGAGAGGAAAGGACAAUGUCUUGUUGCUAGCCAAAGAUGAAAGAAGGUGAUUUUGAUGACUUGCUAUUUGGGUAUCCAAGAGCAACCAUGAGUCUAGCAGGACCCUGUGGCUGCACACCAUUCUGACCAUGUGCCCUAGAGUUUAGGCUAGUGUAUUGCCUAUCAUUUCAUGGGAAACAUCAGCACACCCAUUGAAAUCCCCAGCGAGGAUGAAUCAAGAGGUAGAGAGAGCAGCGUCCAGGAGAGGAAGUCAGAAAACUGGGACAGUAAAAUGUAAGGAGUAUGUGGUGAUAGGCUGCAGUGUGAGAUGGCAGGGAAUGGGGAAGGGAAUGGGGAAGCAGAGGGUGAGAUGUUCAAAGAAGUGGGGAAAACAUCACUUCAGCCCUGGCUCUGAUUGCAGCAUCACUUCCUACUUCUCAGAGAUGUGACUGUUUAAGCAGGGAGACAUCCUGGGGAGGUAACUUCUGCAAGAUGAAAGAGGUCCAAGGGCAAGUGUCAGAGAUGGCAGAAAAAGCCAGUGGCAUUGUUUACAAAGAAGUGCUGAUAUGUCGUAUAAUGCUUAAUCACACUUUAUUUCAUUAUGAAAUACACUCAAGAGACCAAAUAACCAAUUUCAGUCAGGUUUAUUAAUAUGGUACAGGCAAAAGGUUCUAUAUGUUACCAGUCUCCUAAGAGCAGCCCUAGGCAGCGAUGUUAUAUUCACCUGACGCAGAAGGUGUACUCCCCCAUUUACACAUUUCAGCUGGUAUUAUUUAUAUGAUUUUACAAGUUACCCCUCUUCAACCCUAACUUGUUUUGUUGUUCCUUCCUUAUCUUUGUUCUGGAUAAUAACAUUCCAGGUACUGAUCCAGCAAGGGACUUUGCUAUUUAAGAUCUUGAAUGGAUGUAUCUUGAUUUUUGACAACUUUUCUAUUCACUUAUGCCAAAUGCUUACUUCUGCAAAUGUGAGGAAUUAUGGGAUACUUAGCAUAAGGGAACAGGAUUGUGGUGUAGGCUGGUUUACACUCACACACUGACAAAAUGUUGGUAUGGUGGGUCCUGUGCUUUUCUUGGCGGGGGGCUAGGAUGCCACCCCCUUGCCUCUGUUCUUGGGGCCCUGCUAGUGGCCUGGGAAGGUGGUAAAGGGAAGCAGGGCAGGAGUCUGGGUUUGCUCCUUGCUCUGAGCCCCAGCCCCUCUUUCCCCCUUGCGUAGGGUUACCCUCUGUCCUUGACACUGGGGGAGGGAGUCUCCCUGCUCUGCUGGGGUAGGGUCUCUCAUUCUCUGGUCUUCCAAUUCUCAGCAACACACCUCCAAACUCCAGUUCUUGCUCCACCCUGUCUGCCUGAAACAGUUUUUUUUUUAAUUCGGUUCCUUACAGGGUCUUAAUUGGCUACAGGUGCUCCAAUUAACCUGUAGUAACCUUCCCUAGUCUACAGGGAACCACGCCUUAAUUAGCCUAGGCUUUAUGCCCACCCACUUCCCAGCACCCAGUAAGACCACUUUCCCACUGCUCCCUGGCCAUGUUGUAUCACAAUUUAUAUAGGCAUGCAUUAACUACACCAUAAUUGGCCUACACCAUAUCUAUCUAAUAUAUAAUAGAUAGAAGUGAUGUGGAUAAUGCAUAUUAUUAGCAUGAUAUAUAUUUAUAUGCUUCUAGCAUCUAUAUUCGUGAACAGAGGACAGGACAAGGAGAGCUUUGCCAUUCAGGGAAUAGAUCUUGAGCCAAGCAGACUUGAUAAAAAAUGUAUAUGAUGGUUGGCUCACACAGAAGUUGGGGGGGCUUUUUUGAUUAGGGAAACAAGGACUACUAUGGGGUAAUGCUUUGUGGUUAUCUUGUGGAUAGGAGACACCAGUGAUGGAUUGGGGAGGCGGAGGGGGGGCAAAGACAGAUCUAGAGGAUCAAUGUGAAUUGAUUUGGAAUUGGAGCAGAAGAUCCCAUCACUAGAAUCAGACCAUCUCUGGAGUAAUGGAUGCUUGCACUGCCUAUGAAUGAAUAAAGAACUUCAAGGAUGUCAAUCAGCACCUUCCACCAGCACUAAGGAGUCGCUUUAGCAUUCAUUUGUAGAAACGUUGCAAAGUGAUACUUGGCUGACUGAGUCAUAGUCAGCUAUGUUUCAGUUUGCUGAGAACAUUAUCAUCUUUCUCUCUGAGGUAUCCCAUCAUACCUCUCAAGCUGCUGAGGCCUAAAAGUGGGACACAAUGUGUGGCAAAGACCCAAUAUGAGGGAAACAAAUAAAUUAUUUGGUCAGGAAACUUGAAAUACCAUGGGAUUCAUUUCUUCAGUGUAAAUAACUCCUUCUGUAACCUCUGGUUCAUAUUUUCAUUUCGUUUUCUUUCUUUGGAGGUAAAUAAUAUUCAGUGAUGAUAAAAGUGAGGGGAAACCAAAUGUAUGUAGAACAGAGGUAACUUU